rnacentral:rRNA from 1 species
GGUGAACGCUGGCGGUAGGCUUAACACAUGCAAGUCGAACGGCAGCACAGUAAGAGCUUGGUGUUCCGGGUGGCGAGUGGCGGACGGGUGAGGUAUACAGCGGAAUCUACUCUUUCGUGGGGGUUCACGAAGGGAAACCUACGCCAAUACAGCAUCCGAUCCUCGGGUGAAGGGGGUGGAUCUUCGGACCUUGUGCGGUUGGAUGAGCGGAUGUCGGGUUUGUUAGUUGGCGGGGUACAGGCCCACGAAGUGGACGAUCCGUAGCUGGGCUGGGAGGAUGGCCAGCGACACUGGAACUGGGACACCGGCCAGACGCCUACGGGAGGCAGCAGUGGGGAAUAUUGGACAAUGGGCGCAAGCCUGAUCCAGCCAUACCGCGUGGGUGAAGAAGGCCUUCCGGUUGUAAAGCCCUUUUGUUGGGAAAGAAAAGCAGCAGGUUAAUACCCCGCUGUUCUGACGGUACCCAAAGAAUAAGCACCGGCUAACUUCGUG